rnacentral:rRNA from 1 species
CAGCUCGUGUCGUGAGAUGUUGGGUUAAGUCCCGCAACGAGCGCAACCCUCGUUCUGUGUUGCCAGCAUUUAGUUGGGGACUCACAGGAGACUGCCGGGGUUAACUCGGAGGAAGGUGGGGAUGACGUCAAAUCAUCAUGCCCCUUAUGUCUUGGGCUGCACGCAUGCUACAAUGGCUGGUACAAACGGCUGCGAUACCGCAAGGUGGAGCGAAUCCGAUAAAGCCAGUCUCAGUUCGGAUUGGGGUCUGCAACUCGACCCCACGAAGUCGGAGUUGCUAGUAAUCGUAGAUCAGCAACGCUACGGUGAAUACGUUCCCGGGGCUUGUACACACCGCCCGUCACGUCACGAAAGUCGGUAACACCCGAAGUCAGUGGUCCAACCGUAAGGGGGGAGCUGCCGAAGGUGGGAUCGGUGAUUGGGACGAAGUCGUAACAAGGUAG